ACGAGGAGACAACGAGAAGAGGCAAGCAUAAUUGCGGAAAAGAGAGAAGACAAAAUGAAAAAAAUCUUAAAAAAAAAAAGCUCUCUGUACUAGAAAUUUAUUGCGCCAAGACAAGAAAAAUAUUCCUGCGACCGACAGAAAUGAUGCCUUAGAUCAUGCGGGGGAAUGAAGGAUGAUGCUCCGAGCCGAUUCCUUUGCAGCAAAGCUAUCGCUGAAAAUGCCGGGCCGUAUGGCGAGAUGCUCUCAGCUGCUUGCCAGCUGAUCGUCUGCCGACCAAGAUUUGAGUAAAUGGGAUUCGGAAUCGUCAGAUGAGUGAACUCCCUCUGAUCGCCUGGAAGCAGCCGAGCUUCAUCCAGAGAUUCCUCCGGAUGAUAUGGAGACGAAGGUUAUGCAUCCAGCAGACGUUCGACUCCCUUUCCAGUACGCAGUGCAAACACAAAAGGUUGUGCUUUGACAAGAAGUAGGCUGGUUUCAAGGACAAUGCCAACCACACAAGAUCCCAUUCACCGCCACCAAAGAAUAAAAUCCAGAUGUGGAUAAAACCUUGCUAGAUUUUAUGCACAAGGUAAUAAAAACCUGGACUAUUGAGCAAAUGGUAGAGGAUGAGGAUGAGGAGGAAGAAAGUGCAGGUGUG